rnacentral:rRNA from 1 species
UACAGAGGGGGCAAGCGUUGUUCGGAAUUACUGGGCGUAAAGGGCGCGUAGGCGGCCUGUUAAGUCGAACGUGAAAUCCCCGGGCUCAACCCGGGAACUGCGUCCGAUACUGGCAGGCUUGAAUUCGGGAGAGGGAUGUGGAAUUCCAGGUGUAGCGGUGAAAUGCGCAGAUAUCAGGAGGAACACCGGUGGCGAAGGCGGUUCUCUGGGAAUAUCCUGACGCUGAGGAGCGAAAGUGUGGGGAGCGAACAGG